rnacentral:tRNA from 1 species
CGGGAUGUGGCGCAGUGGUAGCGCACCGGUCUGGGGGACCGGGGGCCGCCGGUUCGAGUCCGGCCAUCCCGA